rnacentral:rRNA from 1 species
UGGGGAAUUUUGGACAAUGGGGGAAACCCUGAUCCAGCCAUCCCGCGUGUGCGAUGAAGGCCUUCGGGUUGUAAAGCACUUUUGGCAGGAAAGAAACGUCAUGGGUUAAUACCCCGUGAAACUGACGGUACCUGCAGAAUAAGCACCGGCUAACUACGUGCCAGCAGCCGCGGUAAUACGUAGGGUGCAAGCGUUAAUCGGAAUUACUGGGCGUAAAGCGUUCGCAGGCGGUUCGGAAAGAAAGAUGUGAAAUCCCAGAGCUCAACUUUGGAACUGCCUUUUUAACCACCGGGCUAGAGUGUGUCAGAGGGAGGUGGAAUUCCGCGUGUAGCAGUGAAAUGCGUAGAUAUGCGGCGGAACACCGAUGGCGAAGGCAGCCUCCUGGGAUAACACUGACGCUCAUGCACGAAAGCGUGGGGAGCAAACAGG